rnacentral:misc_RNA from 1 species
AACUGCGAUAAGUAAUGUGAAUUGCAGAAUUCAGUGAAUCAUCGAGUCUUUGAACGCACAUUGCGCCCCCUGGCAUUCCGGGGGGCAUGCCUGUCCGAGCGUCAUUGCUGCCCUUCAAGCCCGGCUUGUGUGUUGGGUCGUCGUCCCCCCCGGGGGACGGACCCGAAAGGCAGCGGCGGCACCGUGUCCGGUCCUCGAGCGUAUGGGGCUUUGUCACCCGCUCGAUUAGGAUCGGCCGGGCGCCCGCCGGCGUCAAACCCCCAAUCUUUCUAAGGUUGACCUCGGAUCAGGUAGGGAUACCCGCUGAACUUAAGC